GACGAACGCUGGCGGCGUGCUUAACACAUGCAAGUCGUACGGUAAGGCCCUUUCGGGGGUCCACGAGUGGCGAACGGGUGAGUAGCACGUGAGUAACCUGCCCACAACUUUGGGAUAACGCUAGGAAACUGGUGCUAAUACUGGAUAUGUGCUCCUGCUGCAUGGUGGGGGUUGGAAAGCUCCGGCGGUUGUGGAUGGACUCGCGGCCUAUCAGCUUGUUGGUGGGGUAGUGGCCUACCAAGGCGGCGACGGGUAGCCGGCCUGAGAGGGUGACCGGCCACAUUGGGACUGAGAUACGGCCCAGACUCCUACGGGAGGCAGCAGUGGGGAAUAUUGCACAAUGGGCGCAAGCCUGAUGCAGCAACGCCGCGGGCGGGAUGACGGCCUUCGGGUUGUAAACCGCUUUCAGCAGGGACGAAGCUUUUUGUGACGGUACCUGCAGAAGAAGCACCGGCUAACUACGUG
rnacentral:rRNA from 1 species